AAGGGAAAAAUAAGGCUUCAAGUAAAAUAACGUUGCUGAGCCACUUUCCUCUUCGUAGAGACUCUCCUAGUCACCUCCGAACCCUAAUUUUCUCUUCAACCUUCUUCCUACAAACGCCACCGUCACCUCCAACAACCGCCGGAGCGAAGCGUCACCGUCGCGGAUCGAGGCAGCUCUCGCGGAUCGAAGCGUCACCGUCACCGUCACCGAAGCAUUGGCGCCGUCUGGUCGUCGGCGUGGCGUCGUGGUGGUCGUCGGCUUGUCGUCGUCACCGUCACCGUCACCGAAGCGUUGGUCGUCGUCUGGCUCUGGCCUUCUGUGCUCUCCCGCGUGAAGAAAAGUAACGCUCCUCGCUCACCCAUCUCCCACAUCAGAGAAGAGACUUCACCCAAACCCUAGCAACCGCUCACCCUUACCUCGCCGAGUUACUCCCGUCGGCUAGAGGGUGCCGUCGCUGCCGGACUAGCCUCAACCGAGCCUCCCACUUCUUAGGUCGGCAUCUCUCACGUGCAAAGAACCCACGGGCACGUUUGUUUUCUCGCCGGCGCUCUUCUCGGCGUUGCGGUGGUUCGUUCUCUCCUUGGCAUCUUUCCCUCUCUCUUCAAAUUUUUCUUUGCUGAUUAAUUGACGCUCUCUUUGCUUCGGCUGUCUGCAUACAAAGAAAACAUUGUUUAUGUAAUGUCAAAAGAACAUGCAGAGAUAAAUGAUGGAAUAUGUGCAUCCAGACUUCACAUAGGCCUGAGAGCAAGAGAGAGGCCAUCGUGUGUUAUAUACGCAAGCACAAUUGUGCAUCGCAAACUAAUGCAAACUUGUGCGCAAAGAGAGAAGAUAAAAAUCUGCCUGCCUGCCUGCCCAAGUCCAUAGUGUGGACAGUGCCUCAUUCCCUUGCCUCACUCCCUUUGAUCGUAGUCCGUUUCUUGCCGUCAGCCUCGCCUCUCAACUUCUGUCUCUCUCCGUCUCUCGCCAUCCAUCUCUCAGCCUCGCCGAGUCGUCAUGUUGCCAGAUCUGAAACCUACAUGAACAAUGGACAACGUGGUUGAUUCUCUAAACAAUGCCUAUCAAGAUUUUAUUGCUGCUGCGUCGACUGUGCUUGAAGCCAAAGAAAGUGCAGGUGCCCAGAAAACAACAGCAACUGAUGUUGCUCUAGAGAACUUCAAGCAGAAGUGGGAAUUAUUUAGGGUGGCAUGUGAUCAAGCCGAGGAGUUUGUGGAGUCUUUGAAGCAGAGGAUAGGAUCAGAGUGUCUGGUAGACGAGGCGACAGGUGCAGGAAAACCCGGACAAGCUACCAUGACUGGUCUUCCUCCCAUCAGCGCAGUUCGGCUGGAACAAAUGAGUAAAGCGGUCCGGUGGCUAGUGAUUGAAUUGCAGAAUGGAUCUGGAGCCGCUGCUGCUAAUUCAUCCCAAUCCCAUGCCUCAGCUCCUUUUGAUGCCAGGUUCUCUGAAGAUUCUGCUCCAUAGCAUCAAAGUAACUGUUACUGUAUACACAUGGUGUUUCUGUAUUUCACUUGAACUUUAACUUAGGUUGCAUUGAUUUAGACUUUGUUUAUGUAUAUAAAAAUGGUAAUGAAUCUCCAUUUUAGUUGUUAAUGCUAUUUCAUGAACAUCUAUGAUUGUUUAAAAUUAGUCCCAAUGUUAUUCUGCUCAUUGGAUCAUGUCCUUUUCUGCUUAUGCUAAUUCUUCCACCUUGGCUUUGUCAAUGCCCUGGCUUUGUAAUAAAGUAAUCAAUCGUAGGAUUCCGGAGGAAA